rnacentral:tmRNA from 1 species
ACAACCAAUAAUAAAUUUUGAGAUAAGUAUGUAGAAGCCUAGGUUGAUUGUUUUCGGACGCGGGUUCAACUCCCGCCGCCUCCACCA